GAGGGUAUAUCUCAGAGGUAGAGUGAAUGCUUAGCAAGCACAAGGUCCUGGGUUCAAAGCCCAGUACAUCCA
rfam:Camelus ferus unplaced genomic scaffold scaffold123, whole genome shotgun sequence.